ensembl:lncRNA
CACACGAUUGAGCUCAGUUUCAUUCAAGCCACAAUGAUGUCAUACUUGUGGAUUUUCGUCCUUGGAAUUUUAAUCGUGACUGGAGUGAAGAUGCAAGACGAUGGAGUGGAAGGCGCAGACAAUGCCGCUGCAGACGCUGAAGAACCAGCUAAAGAACCAUCACCUGAAGAAACAUCACCUGAAGAAAUAUCACCGGAAGAACCAGCACCUGAAGAACCAGCACCCGAAGAACCAGCACCUGAAGAACCAGCACCUGGAGAAAUAUCACCUGAAGAAACACCUGAAGACCCAGCGGAGGAUGCUGUGGAUGAGGCAGCAGCUACUGCAGAGCCUGAAGACACCAACCCUGAGUCAGACGCUGCGAUAGAAGAGGCUGAAGAAACACCAGCAGCUGAAGAGAAACCUGCUGAAGCAGAAGCAGAAGAAGCAGCGGCUCCUGAAGCAGAUGACGCCGAUGCAACUAAAACAGAAGCCGAUCCACCUGCUGAAGAUCCUGAACAAGAAAUCAAGCCCGAAGAAGCUCCAGAUGAUGCAGAAACAGAGGAAGCUCAAGAGGAAGCAGAAGGAGGGGAAGCAGAUGCAGGCGCAGAGACUGAAGCAGGCUUUACUGCUGUACCAGAGGAACCUGUGGACCCUGAAGGGGCUGUGGAAGAUAUUUCUGCAGAAUUCGAUCUUUCUGAUGCGUUCGAAGAGAAAGCACAACCACAGGAUCCAGUAAAGACAAAAAUGGGAGAUGCAGACCAGCACAGCGCAGGUCAAGGCAGAGCUCGCAGCGCUGGAGCCGUUUCUGAGCCGAACGACAGUGGAUCUGGUACGGUUGUUGGUGUUGUUUGUGGGAUUGCAGUAGCAGCUGUUGGUGCCAUAAUCGGAUACUUCACCUACCAGAAGAAGAAACUGUGCUUCAAGGUCCAGAGAGGUGAUCCAGAGAGUGCCAAAGAAGAGAACGGCACACAGAACCCUGAGGGUGAGCCAUUCACUGCUCGUUUUCACCUUGAAAUCAUGGUUUUCACUGAUAUUUAUGUAUUUGUAUGGCACUUGAUGGACUUUGUAUGGCCAUAAACAGGUGCUUCUCAGCUGGUGGGUCUCAGAUCUGCUCAGCAAGGAGAAACUUUGAUGAAAGCAAAUAAUGAAAUACAACUAUUUCUGCAGAAUUUGGACAACAAAAUAGACUUACAAAUUCUUGAAGGGAGAAAUUACAUUCUAUUGUAUGCAUUCUUAGAAGGGAAACACUGUCCAUAUCUUUUGCUGCUGAUGUCACCUCUAACUACCCAGCAACCACCCAGAACCCCUUAGCGAUUACCUAGCAACACCCUAGUAACCACUCAGAACCUCCAAGAACUACCUAGCAACCACCCAGGACCUUUUAAUGAUUACCUACCAACACCCUAGUAACCACUCAGAACCCCCAACAACUACCGAGUAACCACACAGAACCUCCAACAACUACCUAUCAACCGCCCAGAACUCCUUAACGAUUACCUAGCAACACCUUAGUAACCACACAGAACCCCCAACAACUACCUAGCAACCACCCAGAACCCCUUAACGAUUACCUAGCAACGCACUAGUCACAACACAGGACCUCCAACAACUACCUAGCAACCACCCAGAACCUAUUAAUAACUACCUAGCAACACCCUAGUAACCACUCAGAACCCCCAACAACUACCUAGUUAAACCACCCAGAACCCCUUAAUGAUUACCUACCAACACCCUAGUAACCACUCAGAACCCCCAACAACUACCUAGUAACCACCCAGAACCCUUAAUGAUUACCUAACAACACCCUAGUAACCACACAGAACAACACCCUAGUAACCACUCAAAAGCUCCAGCAACUACCUAGUGACCACCCAGAACCCCUUAACGAUUACCUAGCAACACCUUAGUAACCACACAGAACCUCCAACAACUACCUCGCAACCACCCAGAACCCCUUAACGAUUACCUAGCAACGCACUAGUCACAACACAGGACCUCCAACAACUACCUAGCAACCACCCAGGACCUUUUAAUGAUUGCCUAGCAACACCCUAGUAACCACUCAGAAACUCCAACAACUACCUAGCAACCACCCAGGACCUUUUAAUGAUUGCCUAGCAACACCCUAGUAACCACUCAGAACCCCCAACAACUACCUAGAAACCACACAGAACCUCCAACAACUACCUAUCAACCGCCCAGAACUCCUUAACGAUUACCUAGCAACACCUUAGUAACCACACAGAACCUCCAACAACAACCUAGCAACCACCCAGAACCCCUUAACGAUUACCUAGCAACGCCCUAGUAACUACACAGAACCUCCAACAACUACCUAGCAACCACCCAGAACUCCUUAACGAUUACCUAGCAACACCUUAGUGACCACUCAGAACCCCCUAAUCUAUCUAGCAAACACAAAAUAACCCAUUAGCAACUACCUAGCAACACCCUAGCAACCAACCUGAACCCCUUGUCAACUAUUUAGUAAUCACCCAAAACCCUGUAAUGACUACCUAGCAGCCACCUAGAAACACACUCUCUAACAACUUUGUAAAGACCACUCAGAACCCUCUAAUGACUACCUAGCAACACCCUAGUAACCACUCAGAACCUCCAACAACUACCUAGCAACCACCCCGAACCCCUUAACGAUUACCUAGCAACACCCUAUUAACCACUCAGAACCUCCAACAACACCCUAGCAACCAACCAGAACCCCAACCAAGUCUGAUCUCUCAUCUAAAAAACAAGGCCUGUUCAGUUCGUGAUAAUAUAAACAGAAUUCAGUGCUUGAUUAUAAAGACAUCUUGUUUAUUUUUAUACAACGAAUAAACAAUUCCAGUACUGUGCUGGUCGACA